UACCACUUCUGGUGGACUAACUAACAUCUUUUCCUCAAGGACCCACUUUCUAGACAACAAGCUCAGACAUGUCCACAUCAACAUUUUCUGCCUACUCUUCCUACAGCAUGGACAAUGCAAGUCCUACUUUUCCAUCAAGCCCCAGUGAGCUCUCUGUCUCCAGUGUGGCCUUGGAAGAAACAGACAUGACUCUCAGAGUCAAUUGUCUACACUAUUGUUUCUGACUUGUCCAAAUCACCUAUUUCCUUUGAAGCCUCCUUUACAAGAUCUGAAGGAUCUCCACUACAGCAGCCUCCUCAGUGCUGUGCUUCGGUGAGGAGGUCACCACUGUGAGCGAGACUGUGAAGCUGGGCUUUGACAUGCAGGAGCAGUGCACUCAGGAGGCUGCAAAGGACUAUGCCCAGUGCUACUAUGUGGAUUAGGUGGAGGGGAAGCUGGCCUGCAUGACCACGUGCACCUAGCGGAUGAAGUCGAAACUAAACUGUCACCAGGGCAAGUGCCAGCUGCA